AAAGUCCAAAGAUUUAUCGCAGAGGAUGAGCCCGCGUAGGAUUAGCUAGUUGGUGUGGUAAAGGCGCACCAAGGCGACGAUCCUUAGCUGGUCUGAGAGGAUGAUCAGCCACACUGGGACUGAGACACGGCCCAGACUCCUACGGGAGGCAGCAGUGGGGAAUAUUGGACAAUGGGCGAAAGCCUGAUCCAGCAAUGCCGCGUGAGUGAUGAAGGCCUUAGGGUUGUAAAGCUCUUUUACCCGGGAUGAUAAUGACAGUACCGGGAGAAUAAGCUCCGGCUAACUCCGUGCCAACAGCCGCGGUAAUACGGAGGGAGCUAGCGUUGUUCGGAAUUACUGGGCGUAAAGCGCACGUAGGCGACUUUGUAAGUUAGAGGUGAAAGCCUGGAGCUCAACUCCAGAACUGCCUUUAAGACUGCAUCGCUUGAAUCC
rnacentral:rRNA from 1 species